rnacentral:rRNA from 1 species
GACGGAGGAUGCAAGUGUUAUCCGGAAUCACUGGGCGUAAAGCGUCUGUAGGUGGUUCGAAAAGUCCACUGUUAAAAAAUUUGAGGCUUAACUUCAAAGAUGCCGUGGAAACUUUCAAACUAGAGUAUGGUAGGGGUAGAGGGAAUUUCCAGUGGAGCGGUGAAAUGCGUAGAUAUUGGAAAGACCACCGAUGGCGAAGGCACUCUACUGGGCCACUACUGACACUGAGAGACGAAAGCUAGGGGAGCAAAUGGG